rnacentral:piRNA from 1 species
UGCCAUCUGUCAUGUGCCUUGGUCAAGUA